rnacentral:rRNA from 1 species
CAGUCGCCGCGGUAAUACAGAGGAUGCAAGCGUUAUCCGGAAUGAAUGGGCGUAAAGCGCGCGCAGGUGGUUUAAUAAGUCUGAUGUGAAAGCCCACGGCUCAACCGUGGAGGGUCAUUGGAAACUGUUAAACUUGAGUGCAGAAGGGGAAAGUGGAAUUCCAUGUGUAGCGGUGAAAUGCGUAGAUAUAUGGAGGAACACCGGUGGCGAAAGCGGCUCUCUGGUCUGUCACUGACGCUGAGGCUCGAAAGCGUGGGUAGCGAACAGGAUUAGAUACCCCUGUAGUCCCUGUCUCUUAUAC